UCCAUUUACAAAGGAUUAGGUCUUCUAUCAUCCCGUUUCCUGCUUUGAUCGAGCAAAUGGCGACGAAUUCAAAACGAUGAGGCCGUGGGAAAUUCGAUUGAAAGGAACACGAAUCGAUCAUAAGGGGAAAAACGCAGAGGCAACAACAAAACGAAAUCGGAGGCAUAGUGGAUUUGGGGUUUCGGUCGUAGUGUGGUCGGGGAGAAUCACGAAGGAAUACACGAACAAGAGCUUGUAAGGGGCGAGGUUUUCAAUCUCCGAUGAGCAACUAGAUGAAGAACAAGGGAGAAGCAGCGAGAUGGGGCUGUUGCUCCGAUCGAAGCAGGUCAGGAGGUGGAGAGGUGCACCGUGGAUGGGUGCGAGAGCUGGUUCGUUUGAAGCAACAACAACCCCAGGAGGGUGUUCGACGGUGUUUGUUGAUGGGGGAAGGGGCAAAGGAGGGCAUCGAUCUCCAGUGGGCUCCCUUGGUGCGUUUGGUUCGUCUCUGGCAGUCUCAUUCGAGGAAGGAGUCUUCGGUUUCAUCUGUCCGAAAAAUGAACGGACCAAAUCAAAUCGACGGGGCAUGGCAGCUCUAGUCAGCAGGAAGACUAAGGAGGCGAUGGAGGAAGUUGAUGCCCGAUGGCUUCUGGGUUUCUCUUCUCCUGGUCCGAUCAAAAGCAAACGCGAAGGAAAUGGGAAACGUCUGGAUUGAAGAGCAAGGACGAAACAGAAGUUACCCUGAUCAAUAGAGAAGGAAUGAGAGAAAGGGUGGGUUGUGGAGGUUGCGCAGUGGCCUUACAGUCGGUGGUUCUCAGGAAGCGAUAUGAAGAAGAACGGAGAUGGUAGCAGUGAAUCAACAAACAGGUAAAGAGGUUUUUUUUUGUUUUUGAUAAAUGUCGAUGUUGUAUUUGGGAUGUGUGUUUGUUGAUUGAGAUUGACAGGAAGAAUAUGAAGAAGAAUUGUGUAUGGGUUCAUUGACUGGGUACAAGGAAGGAAAAGGGAAGGAGUGAAGCAACGUCCAUCUCCAGCGACCAGCAAGAAGAGAAGGAACCGCUAGGGAACAGUGGUGUGAAGGAGUGCAUGCUUCAGUUAAGAAGUGAAAAAGAAACACGUUUCAGCUGGCUGUCCUUUUAUUUGUUUAUUUAUUUACUUAUUUAUUUAUUUGUAUUUAUGUAUAUGUAUGUAUCUGAUUUGUAUUAUGUAUUUGUUUUAUUAUGUAAUGCAUGUAUAAGUUGUAAUUAAUAAAUUUCUAUAUGUAUCACUACUAGAAA